GCUUUCCUAUCCUACAGUCGUUACUGUUUAAGAUUAAAUUUUACACGUCAAGCCAUUACAUUGUAUUAUAUUUUAUUGGUGCGAAGCGGAGAACAAAACAAUUGGUGAAUUUUCGUCUUUGUAUCGAAUUUGAAUUACCAGGAUCCAUACAACUAUAUUGAGAGAUUGGAGAGAUUGAACACAAACCGCAGUCAUGAGAUACAGGCUGAUUUACACGUUGCUGACCACGGCGCAAGAACUUCUGUUCGGCAAGAAAUUGUUUUUCGAUUGGCAGCUCGGCGACAACUGGGCGCUGAAGAGCAUGGAUAAAUUGGACAGAGAGUUGGAAGCGGCCGAAAAGGACCGGAAAGAUGUCGACGUCCAGCAGUCAAAUGACUCGAAAAAGUCUGAGUACGUGUACCGUAGGCAGAUCGUCUGGUUCAACACCAUCGGGUUUCUUGUGCUCCACUUGGGCGCCGUUUACGGUCUGUACUUGUUCUUGACAUCGUCGAUGGUGCUCACCAUGUUGUGGACGUUGCUGGUAGCGGGCGCGAGUGCGUUCUCCGUCACCAUGGGUGCUCACAGACUUUAUACGCACAGGACUUUCAAGUGUAACGAUUGGGUGAAAGCCCUGUUGGUGUUUGGGCAGACCGUCGCUGGACAGAAUUGCUUGUAUGUUUGGAUCAGAGACCACCGACAGCAUCACAAGUACAGUGAUACAGUGGCUGACCCGCACAACGCGUCGCGGGGUUUCUUUUUCUCGCACAUCGGAUGGUUGAUGGUGCGUAAACAUCCGGAAGUCAUCGCAAAAGGCAAAAAUAUUGACAUGACCGACAUUGAAAUGGAUCCGUACGCAAUGUUUCAAAAAAAAUAUUACAAAAUACUGUUCACGAUUUUGGCCAUGCUGAUGCCGAUGGUCGUGCCAUUCGUCUUAUGGGGCGAAACCUUGUGGAAUGGCUUCUUCGUGUGCUUCCUGUUUCGGCUGAUGGCGGUUUUGAAUUUGACCUGGCUGGUCAACAGUGCUGCGCAUCUAUACGGCAACAAACCAUUUACCAAUGACAUUAUGCCCGUGGAAAACGUUUACGUGUCCAUGUUCGGGCUGGGCGAGGGCUGGCACAACUAUCACCACUCGUUCCCGUGGGACUACCGGGCCGCCGAGUUCGGCCAGUACUUCAAUCUGACCACCAUGGUGAUCGACUUUUUCGAAGAGAUGGGCUGGGUGUGGGACAAGAAGUACGCGACGCCGGCCAUGGUCCGGAGCCGGGUGACCAAGCGCGGGGAUGGCACGCACUGCAAGUACAGCCGGCCGCAGUCGAAGGAGAACGGUGAACAGUCGGAACCGGUGCCGGAAGACGACUCUUACGAGGAGCUUUUCUGGCUGGAAGAACGGUCGGCCGUGACCGCCGAGCGCGCGGCCGAGGCUCAGAAAGGCUGAACGUCGCCACGAUAAUAUAAUUUAAUAAUAAUAAUUAAUUACUAUUUAUAAUACCUAUCCGUGUGAUAUAAGUCACCAGAGGAUAAUUUUUUUUAGAAACCUUUUUUUUUUCUUAAUUUUAUGUGUGAACAUGUAUAUUAUUAUAUAUCAAUUUACUUAUGUCGGCCACUAAGUGUGGCUCUCUCUCUCUCUCUGUCUCUAUAUCUCUCUCACUCACUCUGUGCAUGUAUACGUAGUAUGUAUAUGAUGGCUAUAUAGGAAUCACGAAAAUUUGUAUAAUAAUAAUGUUGAUGAUGAUAAUAUAUAUGCAGUGAUCAAAUUAGAAAAAUACAAGAAAGACUUUUUUGAAUUGAAAAAAAAAUCAGCAUCCUUCAAAUUGUUGAACUCAAUCUAACUUCUCCCCCUUCCUCGUGGCAUCACACCAAAAAAUCAUUGAACUAAAAACUUUUUACGAUACACACUAGAAAACCAGUAAUAACUAUUUAUGAUCAAUUUGAAUAACAGUAAUUUAUCUACAUUAAUUAUUAAAUAUUUAAAUAAUGUUUAAUAUAAUAAUAUGCACUAUAAUAAUUAAUAGGUAUAUUAAUUUAUAUUUUUUAGAUACAAUACAAUAACUAUGACGCAGUAUCAUAAUUAUAAUAAAUUAAAUUUGAAUACUUAUUCAAUUUAAUUUUAUGAAAUACAAACUAUUAAAAUAAUGCUCUCGAAAAAUAAAAUAAAUAGCGGAGAAGCUUAGCCAAUUCAAGCCAACUGAAUAUAAUAUGUGUGUAUGUGUAUAGUGUAUACAUCGUAAUCUUAUUCAAUAUCAUGAAAUUUCUGCUUUUACCACUUAUUUUAAUGCUAAAAAAUUAUAACAGGUAAACGCUAUAUGGCUUUGAAUAUAACAUAGUAACAAAUAUGAAAUAGGUAAUAAGAUUCUGCAGUCAUUAUCCGAAAAAAAUUUAUAAUAUAUACGUACCAUAUUAUAUUAUAAUGUUAAUAAU